GUAGGAGGCAAACGUUAUCCGGAUUUACUGGGCGUAAAGCGCGUGUAGGUGGUUCUGUAAGUAGGGCGUGAAAGCUCCUGGCUCAACUGGGAGAGGCCGUUCUAAACUGCAGAGCUAGAGGAUGGUAGAGGGAGGUGGAAUUCCGGGUGUAGCGGUGGAAUGCGCAGAUAUCCGGAGGAACACCAGUGGCGAAAGCGGCCUCCUGGACCAUUCCUGACACUCAGACGCGAAAGCUAGGGUAGCAAACGGGAUUAGAGACCCCGGUAGUCCUAGCCCUAAACGAUGUAGACUUGGCGUCGGUGGCUUAAUCGUCAUCGGUGUCGUAGCUAACGCGAUAAGUCUACCGCCUGGGGACUACGGCCGCAAGGUUAAAACUCAAAGGAAUUGACGGGUCCCCGCACAAGCAGCGGAGCGUGUGGUUUAAUUCGUUGCUACACGAAGAACCUUACCUGGGUUUGACAUAGCAGUGGUAGGAAUACGAAAGUGGACCGACCCUUCGGGGAGCUGUUACAGGUGUUGCAUGGCUGUCGUCAGCUCGUGUCGUGAGAUGUUCGGUUAAGUCCGCUAACGAGCGCAACCCUUGCCGUGUGUUACAAGUGUCACACGGGACCGCCGGUAUUAAGUCGGAGGAAGGUGAGGAUGACGUCAAGUCAGCAUGACCUUUAUAUCCAGGGCUACACACACGCUACAAUGGUCAGUACAAUAGGUUGCCAAGCCGCGAGGCGGAGCCAAUCCUAAAAAGCUGGCCUCAGUUCAGAUUGCAGGCUGCAACUCGCCUGCAUGAAGUUGGAGUUGCUAGUAACCGCAGGUCAGCUAUACUGCGGUGAAUACGUUCCCGGGGAUU
rnacentral:rRNA from 1 species